rnacentral:pre_miRNA from 1 species
UCCCUGAGAAUUCUCGAACAGCUUCAAAGUGUUCAAGCUGUCGAGUUUUGUCAAGGACC